UACGUAGGCAGCAAGCGUUGUUCGGAAUUACUGGGCGUAAAGAGUGUGUGGGCGGUGUUCUAAGUUUGUCGUGAAAUCUCCCGGCUUAACUGGGAGGGUGCGGCGAAAACUGGAAUGCUAGAGGAUGGGAGAGGUAAGCGGAAUUCCUGGUGUAGCGGUGAAAUGCGUAGAUAUCAGGAGGAACACCUGUGGUGUAGACAGCUUACUGGACCAUUUCUGACGCUGAGACACGAAAGCGUGGGUAGCAAACAGG
rnacentral:rRNA from 1 species